CAGGACCUCAGAAUGUGACUGUAUUUGAAGAUAGAGCCUUCAAAGAGGUAACUGAGUGAAAAUAAGGUCAUUAGGAUGGGUCCUAAUCCAUGAUGACUGGUGUCCUUAUAAGAAGAAGAGAUUAAGACACAGAGAGGGAAGAUCAUGUGAGGACACAGAGGGAAGAUGGCCAUCCACGAGGCAGGAGAGAAGCCUUGGAAGAAACCAGUGCUGCCCACACCUUGAGCUUGAACUCCAGCCUCCAGAACUAUGCAAUCCAGAGAUAAAAGAGGAAUUCGCUUAAGGCAGAGUUGGGAAAAACCCAGAACUUCAGACUCAGUCUGGUGGUAUUCGCUCAACACUAUGCUUCUGCCCACAGAUGAAGAAAUGAAGGUUCA
rnacentral:lncRNA from 1 species